rnacentral:rRNA from 1 species
GACAGAGGUCUCAAGCGUUAGGCGGAAUCACUGGGCUUAAAGCGUGUGUAGGCGGAUCGUUAAGUGUCUUGUGAAAUCCCACGGCUCACCCGUGGAACGGCUGGGCAUACUGGCGAUCUUGGGCCAACUAGGGGCAACUGGAACAAGCGGUGGAGCGGUGAAAUGCGUAGAUAUCGCUUGGAACGCCGAAGGUGAAAACAGGUUGCUGGGGUUGUGCCGACGCUGAGACACGAAAGCCAGGGGAGCAAACGGG